GCGGCGGACGGGUGAGUAAUGCCUAGGAAUCUGCCUGGUAGUGGGGGACAACGUUUCGAAAGGAACGCUAAUACCGCAUACGUCCUACGGGAGAAAGUGGGGGAUCUUCGGACCUCACGCUAUCAGAUGAGCCUAGGUCGGAUUAGCUAGUUGGUGGGGUAACGGCUCACCAAGGCGACGAUCCGUAACUGGUCUGAGAGGAUGAUCAGUCACACUGGAACUGAGACACGGUCCAGACUCCUACGGGAGGCAGCAGUGGGGAAUAUUGGACAAUGGGCGGAAGCCUGAUCCAGCCAUGCCGCGUGUGUGAAGAAGGCCCUCGGGUCGUAAAGCACUUUAAGCUGGGAGGAAGGGUUGUAACCUAAUACGUUGCAAUUUUGACGUUACCAGCAGAAUAAGCACCGGCUAACUCUGUGCCAGCAGCCGCGGUAAUACAGAGGGUGCAAGCGUUAAUCGGAAUUACUGGGCGUAAAGCGCGCGUAGGUGGCUUGGUAAGUUGAAUGUGAAAUCCCCGGGCUCAACCUGGGAACUGCAUCCAAAACUGCCUGGCUAGAGUACGGUAGAGGGUGGUGGAAUUUCCUGUGUAGCGGUGAAAUGCGUAGAUAUAGGAAGGAACACCAGUGGCGAAGGCGACCACCUGGACUGAUACUG
rnacentral:rRNA from 1 species